CUGGCUUUGUGAGGGAAGGAUACACUCAAGAACAGGUCGACAGAAGGACGGGUGUCGAAUCGGUUUAGAAAGCAACCUGAAGCUACGGCAAAACCCCAACUCUCACCAGAAAAAAUUGGUGUCCUAGAAGACUGCUUUGAGGACUGGCUCGUGAAGCGUGGUGCCAGUGGUCCAUGCUUGAAAGAAAGGUUGAACUCCGUGAAAGGCCACCUGAUUUCAGCUCUACGGGAUGCUGCAAGACCAGCAAAAGACACACCGACCACACCCACAAAUGCCACCUCAUAAGGACCUUAUUUCUGCUGAAGUUUCUGGUUGUCCUCAUAUCUUCGCAGCAGAAGAAGGAUCCCACUGCUGCCUGUGAUGCAGGAGGUCAAGUAAUCACAGCACCUGCACACAGAUCCAGUCCACAGACCUGGACGGCAUACCUAGGCAUAUUUUACAUGUACACUUCAAGUACUGCAAGUUUCAACUCUGCAAUGCAAGACUAUAUCUGUCUGAAUUCAUGACACUGACUUGUACCAGUAAGCUUUGUUUGCGGACAGUACAAUGAUUGGUCCAUGUCUAGUUUAGGUCCGCCACUCGAUUUCAACCUUGAAAUCUCCAUACCUGGAUGUAAUUAUGGAAGGUGCAUCAUA